AUAAAGGUCCCCCUGCUGUGAGCCCCUCCGACCGAAAGAGGUCCGGUCGAGCAGUGGGGAGGGGCAGAGACCAGUGGGGAGGGGCAGAGACCAGCGGGGCGGAGACCAGCGUAGCGGGAGGGGCGACCAGGACCGUGACCUUGUGGAGGACAUCCCUGAUUGGUGUCUUCCAAACUAGUCCACCUGGUUGAAACCUUUGGACAGCCGACCACAGAGCCACGAGGCACUAGUACAACAGAGUUAUUUAUUUUGCAGAACAUUGGAUUUACAGAUAGCUGCUGGAGUAGUUUGACGCAAUAGAGUACUAAAGUGAAAACGUCACGUUGUCCUGGCAACCGGAUUUUCUGUUCUAAACAACCGAACGAGAGAUGCCGUUUUCCAUUGCUGCCAUGUGUUGUUUCUUUCAAAAUGAUAAUAAAUCAAUUUCAAGAGGUGAAAACCACUACCCAUCGAAACAUGUCGAGGCUUUUUCCCCUGGGGUAUUAGAAGGUAAAGAUAGACGACGUUACAAAAUAUUAAACGGGUAUCAAUGACGGCGGCGCCAGGCCUGAUAGUGACCUUCCUCCCCAGUCUGAACCCGGUCGCCCCCAGCAGCAGGAUGGACUCCACAGACCACCUCAGGCGCCCCUCCGGCUGCCCAGACUCCCUUUACACUCCCAGGAACCCGGCUGAUAAUGAGGCGUGCUCCUCUCUCCUCUCUCCCGCAGUUACUUCACCCUCUCCUCACCCCCCUCUGUCUUCCAGGGCCUCCAUCAACCCCACCACCUCCUCCUCCACCUCCUCCUCCUCCGCAGCAGCAGCGGACCAACCGAGUGCCGCGACUCCUCCUCCUCUUCCUCCUCCCGCCGAGGAAGAGGAGUCCUGCACCUCCCCCGGGGAGGGGAGCCUCGCCCCGGAGGAGCCCUGCGAAGGAGACGCCACGGUCAAGGACGACUGCAGGCUGAGGGAUGACUCUGAAGGUAGGGGGACCAGAUGAACCCCAGGGGCACGCCUGAUACCUGUGGAUCAGGGGCUCAACCUGCAGCUUCACCCAGGGAGGGGGAAGGGGGAGAGGGGCAGGGAGGCUGGGUUCAACUUCUCGAUUAGUUCACGUUUCAUCAUUAUCAUAUGACCCAGAAGAAGAAAUUAUAUUGUGAGUUCUAAAGCUCAGAGGUUUUUGUGUGUGUGUGUGUGUGUGUGUGUGUGUGUGUGUGUGUGUGUGUGUGUGUGUGUGUGUGUGUGUGUGUGUGUGUGUGUGUGUGUGUGUGUGUGUGUGUGUGUGUGUUUGGGGACAGUGUUGUUGCUGACCUUGAGUUAAGGCUGCAUGAUGAUCGUAUUAGACCUGUUUGAUGCACCAGGCUUUCAAGGAUUUCGAUACACAAGCAUAGUUAGAUGGACGACAUGAAUACAUUCUUCAGCAACACACAAACACACACACCUGUACACGCACAAACGCAUUCACACAGGUGUGGGUGCACGCGCCUCGAUAAUUUGAUUUUCUCACGGACAUGACAUGAAUCCAAUUAUUUCCGGAUGAGGAUCAAUAGAGGAAUAUUUCCAUGAAUAUUUCCAUUGCUUUGGGAUUGGAGCCGGCAGUGAGGCAGGGAUCUUACGCCGGCUUCAUGCAGGUCUUCAGUUGGCCUCGGUCACAUCGUCAUGCUUUUCAUGUUCCUUCCUUGUAGUCUGAUCACAGUAGCAUAGAUUGUAUUUGUGUAUUCAGAAUACAUUUUUAGAGCUGUGUAUGUCGGUCAAUGUAAAGUCCAGGAUUUUGAUUGUGUGACUGUAGUCACGCACAUUCUUGUAGUCUGGUUGCAGUUGUGCAACUCUGAUUAACAUUUAGUUGAGUCAGAUUCACACUUGUAGUGAAAUAAAUUGUAGAUUGCGGUAUUCUUAUUUGGUCACGAUUUGAAUCUGAUUGAAAUUAAAAAACGGAAAGCCAUCUUUCGGUCAACAAAGAAUACUUGUACGGGCUUUUGGACCAGGGCUGUGACGACUGACCAGAAAGUUGGUCAGAAGAGCGGUACUAGCAUGGCACAGUGGGUCAGACCAGAACCAGGGCCGCUACAAGACCCAAUACCUACGUGCUCACUACAAUAGUAAAGUCGGUUGCAUGUGUAUAGCAGCAGUAUAGCAGGACGGAGUACAGUAUUACUGCCUCCUGCUGCCAAGGUUCCAGUCUAUUGCCCUCUCCUAGCUUUACCUUGGAGUCCAUUUCUUUAUCUAUUUAUUUCCAUUUUUCUAAACUACCCUUUUGAAGUGUGCUUUGGUGAGUCACUUUGAGCUUGAUAUAAAGGGUAAUAGUUAUGCCACUAAUGUUUUCAUUUACAGAGGAAGCCUUCACUUUCUGAAUCUUUUAUUAUGAAAGAGACAGGAAGUCUUUAACGCUUCUAAACAAAGAGUCCAAGGUUAUUUAGAGGUAUCUAAUAAACACUGUUGACUAAUCCAUCUCUGGCGGGCUUCAUUUAAAAGCAACAAACCUCUAUUUGUUUCUGGGCUGUGUCUGCGUGUGUCUUUGUCUUUGUGUGUCUUUGUUUGACUCUGUGUGUCUGUGUAUCUCCAUGUAUUUCAUUGUGCGGGGGCGGAGCGGAUUAGAAUGCGGUGUUUCCGAACAAAUCCCAGUUAAAGGUCUGAUCGAUAAAGCCCACAGAGCUGGAUCAGGCUGAACGCUCCCGAUACCGUUAAUGAAGGACCGCGUCGGAGCACCGCGUGUGUGUUUGCACACCUUAUGAUAAAUGCAUACUUUGGAAUUAGAAUAUUGUGUGUGUGUGUAUGUGUGUGUGCACUCACGGGUGUGUGUCAUGAUAAAUCCAUAUGAUUGAUGCAGCAGGAGAGUAUGUAUGUAUCUGAUGUAUUUGUGUUCUGUGAGUGGGUGCAUGUGGUAUGAUCCGGCAGCAGAUGGAUCAUGGGCAUGUACAGUUUAUGGGGGGUUCUAUGAUUUGUUAAGAGUGUGUUAUUUUGUGUCGACCAAGUGUGUGUUGGUCUGUUUUUAAAGUGUAUUUUUGCUCAGAUUUAUAUACUUCCUCACAAAAGCAAAGAAGAUUGAUGCUGUUUACUUAGUGUGUGUGUGUGUGUGUGUGUGUGUGUGUGUGUGUGUGUGUGUGUGUGUGUGUGUGUGUGUGUGUGUGUGUGUGUGUGUGUGUGUGUGUGUGUGUGCAGUGCCCCACAGUGACAGUCUUGAGGUGAUCUAUGAUGACGUCCCCACUGAAUACCUCCCACUAUCUCCUGAUGAAGAGGAUGUGAUCUAUGAAGACGUUCAGAGAGGUGGUCCAGUCAGUGCUGAUAACGGCUGGAGCUCCAGUGAGUUUGAGGACUACGACGACCAGUCUGACAAUGAAGCCAAAGUCCCCACACGCACCAAGGUAGUGUGAAUUUGUUGUGUGUGUGUGUGUGUGUGUCUGUGUGUGAGUGUCUGUGUGCGUGUAUUUAUUCGCCUCAUUUGUCUGUUUGAGUUUACUUUCCAUGUUAAAAUUCUGUCCGCUUCAUGUGUGUCAGAGAAUUGAAUCCAGACUGUGUUUGUGUGUGCGGGUGUAUACGUGUGCAUGUGUGUCUGUGGGGUUAUGUGUGCUUUUGUGCUCGACUUCAGUCAUAUUCAAUCAUAAGUUAUUUGCAAAGUAAAAUGGCUUGGAUGCAUCCCAGCCACGGAGCUGUUCCUGCCCUGCCUUGUCGAAAAAGGCGCCCCAGACUUUCCAAUGAGAAUAUUUCAUCUCCUCCUCCUUUCCUUUGCAAAUGAUUUUUUAUUGAUGUUUAGUUUUGGAAAACAUAAAAAGGAACUCAUGAAAAAAGAAUUAUUGGGCCUGUCUAGAUUUUACCCCGUACAUUCUGAAAUGCGCCUAAUACAAGUCAACAAAGCAGAACAACACGAGUGUUCAGUUCACUGCAAGCGUUUGGUUCUGCGUUCAGCCCCGCACCUGCAGUGCCUAAACCGUCCACUGGGUGGCACUGUGUUCCCAUUGACCCGGUGCUGCGCUGGCUGUUCCGCGCCAGCACUUUAGCAGUCUAGUCUGCUCCUCGUGGCUCUAUUGGUGCGUAUGAGGUGUACACUCUGCACGCUGUACGCUGCGCCACACAGGUACAAGGACAUUUGAAACCACGGUAAUAAUGAC
ensembl:lncRNA